AUGACCCCGUUGCUAAGCUUCCUCUUCUUAGCAGCAGUGUUAUCAGGUGUCCGGUCCGAAAUCCAGUUUGUCCAGUCUGGGGCAGAAAUCAAAAAGCCUGGAGAGUCUAUGAAGCUGACCUGUAAAGCGUCCGGCUACACAUUUAAUGAGUACCGAAUGAACUGGAUCCGACAGGCUCCCGGGAAAGGACUGGAGUGGGUAGCAUCCAUCAGGACAGAUACUUUUGAGACCUUCUAUCCCCAAAAUCUGAAAGGGCGAGUCACCAUCAGCGUGGAUGUUCCCCUCAGCACAGCGUAUUUGCAAAUGAACGGCCUAAAAUCUGAAGACAGUGCUGUGUAUUACUGUGCAAGGGGCACAGUGAGAAGAGACACAUCCCUGGCCACUCAUCAACCCUGCCUGAAAUGGCUCACUGUUGCUGACAGUGGUAUCAGAAAUGCAGUGCCCCCCAAGUGCCCUAAUGUCACAGCAAAUCUGAAGCCCUGA